rnacentral:lncRNA from 1 species
AGAGGGUAGCUGCCUAGCUGAGCUGAAGCCACACACUCAUGCUGUGGCUGAACUGGAGGCAGAGAGACAGGUCUGGCCUCUCGAGCUCCCGUAUGAGAACAUCAGCUCCAAUACCCACCCACGUUGGGGAGGGCUAAUGCCCCAAAAGGAAAUUGGGAUACUGUUUAGGGAGAACGGAUGUGGGCAGCCCACAGGGAGCCUGACGGCAUAGAGCAGAUCCUGAUGACGUGGAUAAAUUGCCCCCAACAGAAAGAGACACAGCAGGGAGAAAAAGAUCCUUGUUGAUGUUUGACCUGCCUCUGAUCUUCCACAGAUUAGCUCUGAGCUGACAUCUGUGCCAAUUCUCCUCUAUUUUGUACGUGGGACGCCUGCACAGCAUGGCUGAUGAGUGGAGUAGGUCUGCACCCAGGAUCCGAACCAGCAAACUCAGGCUGCUGAAGUGGAGCACGUGGAACUUUAAGCACGCGGCCACAGGGCCGGCCCCUUCACUCUCAUCUUUAUCAUUUCCUUUCUUCUGAUUGCUUUGGGUUUAAUUCAUCCUUCUUUUUCUGGAAUUUUAAGCCAAAGGCUCAGAACAUUGAUAUGAGACAAACAGAUCAAUGAAAUAGAAAAGAGUCCAGAAAUAGACCUGCACAUAUAUGGACAACUGAGUUUUUAUAAAAGUUCAAAAAGAACUCAGUGGAAAAACGAUAGUCUUUUCAACAAAUGAUUCUAGAACAAUUGGAUAUCCAUAUGCCAAAGCAAUGAAUUUUGAUCCAUGUCUUACAAUAUAUACAAAAAUUAACUCAAACGUGUCAUAGACCUAAAUGUAAAACCUGAAACACCAAAAUUUCUAGAAGAAAACAUAGGAGAAAAUCUUUUCGACCUUGCCUUAGGCAAAGAUUCCUCAGCUACAUCAAAAGCAUAAUCCAUAAAAGAAGAAGUUGAUAAAUUGGGCUUCAGCAAAAUUAAGAACUUCUGUUCUUUGAAAGACCUUGUUAAGGGAAUGAAAAAGAGAAGCCAGAGACUGGGAGAAAAUAUUUGCAAAUCAUAUAUUUGAUAAAGGACCUGUAUUGGGAAUAGAUCCAGAACUUUCAAAACUCAGCAAUAAGAAAAAAAAUUUUUUUUCAAACAGGCAAAAUAUUUAACAGAUGCUUCACCAAAAAAGACAUGUGGAUGGCUAGUAAGCACAUAAAGAUGCUCAAUAUCAUUAGUCAUGAGGGAAAUGCAAAUUAGAACCACAAUGAGCUAUCACUACCUACCUAUCAGAAAGGGUAAACUUAAAAAGACUAACCAUACCAAGUGUUGGUGAGGUGCAGAGCGAACGAAACUCUCAUAUGCUGUUGGUGGGAAGGUACAAUGGUAAAAACACUUUGGAAAACAAUUUGACAGUUUCUUAAAAAGUUAAACAUGCACGUACCACAUGACCCAGCCGUUCCACUUCUACAUAUUUAUCCAAGAGAAAUGCAAGGAUAAGACCACGCAAAGACUUAUACAUGAAUAUACAUAGAGGCUUUGUUGAUAUUAGCCAAAAACUGGAGACAACACAAAUGUCCAUCAACUACUGAGUGGAUUAAAAAAAUCGGAAAUCUAUACAAUGCAAUACUACUCAGCAAUAAAAAGGAAUAAACUAUUGAUACGUGCAACAACAUGGAUGAAUCUCACAGCCACUACACUGAGUUAAAGAAGCCAGACAAAAAUAUUAUUGUAUGAUUCUAUUUAUAUAAAGUUCUAGAAAUUUGAAUUAAACUAUAGCAACGAAAAGAUUAGCAGUUGCCUAGGGGUGGGG